UACGGAGGGUGCGAGCGUUAAUCGGAAUUACUGGGCGUAAAGCGCGCGUAGGCGGUUUGUUAAGUCGGAUGUGAAAUCCCCGGGCUCAACCUGGGAACUGCACCCGAUACUGGCCGACUUGAGUGCGAGAGAGGGAGGUAGAAUUCCACGUGUAGCGGUGAAAUGCGUAGAUAUGUGGAGGAAUACCGGUGGCGAAGGCGGCCUCCUGGCUCGACACUGACGCUGAGGUGCGAAAGCGUGGGGAGCAAACAGG
rnacentral:rRNA from 1 species